rnacentral:rRNA from 1 species
UACGUAGGGCGCAAGCGUUGUCCGGAAUUAUUGGGCGUAAAGAGCUCGUAGGCGGUUUGUCGCGUCUGCUGUGAAAACCUAAGGCUCAACCUUGGGGCUUGCAGUGGGUACGGGCAGACUAGAGUGCGGUAGGGGUGACUGGAAUUCCUGGUGUAGCGGUGAAAUGCGCAGAUAUCAGGAGGAACACCGGUGGCGAAGGCGGGUCUCUGGGCCGAUACUGACGCUGGAGG